rnacentral:rRNA from 1 species
CCUACGGGUGACAGCAGUAGGGAAUCUUCCACAAUGGGCGAAAGUCUGACGGAGCAACGCCGCGUGGGUGAAGAAGGUCUUCGGAUCGUAAAACCCUGUUGUUAGAGAAGAAAGUGCGUGAGAGUAACUGUUCACGUUUCGACGGUAUCUAACCAGACAGCCACGGCUAACUACGUGCCACCAGCCGCGGUAAUACGUAGGUGGCAAGCGUUGUCCGGAUUUAUUGGGGGUAAAGGGAACGCAGGCGGUCUUUUAAGUCUGAUGUGAAAGCCUUCGGCUUAACCGGAGUAGUGCAUUGGAAACGGGGAGACGUGAGUGCAGAAGAGGAGAGUGGAACUCCAUGUGUAGCGGUGAAAGGCGUAGAUAUAUGGAAGAACACCAGUGGCGAAGGCGGCUCUCUGGUCUGUAACUGACGCUGAGGUUCGAAAGCGUGGGUAGCAAACAGGAUUAGAUACCCCAGUAGUC